ACAAACACGUUGAUGAAGAAAGUAAGAUUUAGUCAUAUUCCUGACAGAGAGCCCUGUAUGCUGAAAAAGGGUGGAAGAAAAUGAAUCUGAAAAUGGCUUUUGAGUGGGUACUUCGAGAAUUUGUUUUUAGAGGUACACGGCUGUCCCCGUUAUCAUGGAUCCCUAUAUCGCGAAAGCCGUAUGGGAGCAGAGGCAUGCUUCGCAAGAAGUUUGCGCACAAAGGUGGUACCAUGUAAGUUGAUUACAUCCUUAGG
rnacentral:ncRNA from 1 species